CUCCCCACCCCUCCCCCUCUGCCCUCCCCACCCCCUCGACUUCCCCCUUUUGUUAAUUAAAACUAAGAAGUAAGAAUGGCAACGACGUGGCCGGCUCCUGUGGAGAACGCUUAAGGACACCACGCCAAUUCUUUCCUUCCGAGAUGGAAAGAGCUCCUAGCUCAUUUAAGCCGGGGUAGGGCUGGUUCUCCUUUCCGAGCCAAAAUCCCAGGCGAUGGUGAAUUAUGAACGUGCCACACCAUGAAGCUCUUGUGGCAGGUAACUGUGCACCACACCUGGAAUGCCGUCCUGCUCCCCGUCGUCUACCUCACGGCGCAAGUGUGGAUUCUGUGUGCAGCCAUCGCCGCUGCCGCCUCCGCCGGGCCCCAGAACUGCCCAUCCGUUUGCUCCUGCAGUAACCAGUUCAGCAAGGUGGUGUGCACCCGCCGGGGCCUCUCCGAGGUCCCUCAGGGGAUCCCCUCCAACACCCGGUACCUCAACCUCAUGGAAAACAAUAUCCAGAUGAUCCAGGCCGACACCUUCCGCCACCUCCACCACCUGGAGGUCCUGCAGCUGGGCAGGAACUCCAUCCGGCAGAUCGAGGUGGGGGCCUUCAACGGCCUGGCCAGCCUCAACACCCUGGAGCUGUUCGACAACUGGCUGACAGUCAUCCCCAGCGGGGCUUUUGAGUACCUGUCCAAGCUGCGAGAGCUCUGGCUUCGCAACAACCCCAUAGAAAGCAUCCCCUCUUAUGCCUUCAACCGGGUGCCCUCCCUCAUGCGCCUGGACUUGGGGGAGCUCAAGAAGCUGGAGUAUAUCUCUGAGGGCGCUUUUGAGGGACUGUUCAACCUCAAGUACCUGAACUUGGGCAUGUGCAACAUUAAAGAUAUGCCCAAUCUCACCCCUCUGGUGGGGCUGGAGGAACUGGAGAUGUCAGGGAACCACUUCCCGGAAAUCAGGCCUGGCUCCUUCCACGGCCUAAGCUCCCUCAAGAAGCUGUGGGUCAUGAACUCACAGGUCAGCCUGAUUGAGCGAAAUGCUUUUGAUGGGCUGGCCUCGCUUGUGGAACUCAACUUGGCCCACAAUAACCUCUCUUCUUUGCCCCAUGACCUCUUCACCCCACUGAGGUACCUGGUGGAGUUGCACCUACACCACAAUCCUUGGAACUGCGAUUGUGACAUUCUGUGGCUAGCCUGGUGGCUUCGGGAGUACAUACCCACCAAUUCUACCUGCUGUGGCCGCUGCCAUGCUCCCCUGCACAUGCGUGGCCGCUACCUGGUGGAGGUGGACCAGGCCUCCUUCCAGUGCUCUGCCCCCUUCAUCAUGGAUGCACCUCGGGACCUCAAUAUCUCUGAGGGUCGGAUGGCAGAACUUAAGUGUCGGACUCCCCCUAUGUCCUCUGUGAAGUGGCUGCUGCCCAAUGGGACAGUGCUCAGCCACGCCUCCCGCCACCCAAGGAUCUCUGUCCUCAACGACGGCACCUUGAACUUUUCCCAUGUGCUGCUCUCAGACACUGGGGUAUACACAUGCAUGGUGACCAAUGUGGCAGGUAACUCCAAUGCCUCGGCCUACCUCAACGUGAGCACGGCCGAGCUCAACACCUCCAACUACAGCUUCUUCACCACUGUCACAGUGGAGACCACCGAGAUCUCACCUGAGGAUACAACGCGCAAGUACAAGCCUGUUCCUACUACGUCCACUGGUUAUCAGCCGGCAUAUACCACCUCUACCACGGUGCUCAUUCAGACCACCCGUGUGCCCAAGCAGGUACCCGCAACCGACACCAAUGAUAAGAUGCAGACCAGCCUGGAUGAAGUCAUGAAGACCACCAAGAUCAUCAUUGGCUGCUUUGUGGCAGUGACUCUGCUAGCUGCCGCCAUGUUGAUUGUCUUCUACAAACUUCGUAAGCGGCACCAGCAGAGGAGUACAGUCACAGCCGCCCGGACAGUUGAGAUUAUCCAGGUGGAUGAAGACAUCCCAGCGGCGGCGUCUGCAGCAGCAACAGCAGCUCCAUCCGGUGUAUCAGGAAACAUGACUGUGAUGGCAGUGCUCUUCUGGAAGCCUGGCUCUGUACUUGGGCUGACACAAAGGACUGCAAGCUCCCUGACGGCAACAAGCAGCUCUGGGGAACCGCAAGUCCCACUGGUCACCAUUAAGUGCCCACUCAGAACCCUCACCAAAGCUCAAGAAGCAGUGAACAUUCAGGAUGACUGAAGAGGGAUCAGAAAACAGGGCAAGAAAUAUGCUGUCCACUAAGAGAGGAAAGCAAAGAAGUGUCAGCAAUCUAAAGCCAGGAGGACAGCUGUUGCUGCUGAAGAGGAGGUGAAGGAAGACACGCACUGUCAGCAGGAGGUGCUCCGCUUGGCCUGCCUUCCCCAAGAGCCCGGCGGUAAGUCAACCCAGUCCCCGUUGCACCUUUAUUCAAACAAAGACUGCACUACUGGGCUGGUGUCCCUGGUGUGCUGCUUUGUUACCAAUACAAAGAAAAGAGGAGAGAGGAGAGAGAAGAGAGAAGAGAAGAGAAGAGAAGAGAAGAAAAAAGAAAAGAAAAAAGAGGGAAAGAAUUAGAGAAAACAGAUCAAGGGGAAGAAAGUUGGGCUCUCAGAAAGCAAACGCCAGGCCGCAGCUCAGUACAGGCUGGCAUGCAGCAGUGGGGAGCUCCCAAGACUGUAAAUAUGAAGUGAGAGAUCACUGGAGUUCCAGAAGCUCUCCCUAGCCAGCAGUGUGCAAAACAUAAGCCCAUCAGGAGCCUGAGGAAGGAGGCGGUAAGCAGAGGGGACCAACUGGCGUCCACACUGGAGCACUGCCACCGGAGUCCUACUGUGGAGGGCCUAGGGCCACUGCAGAGCCAGUCAGCCUCCGGGUGCCAAGAGUUGAGACACUGGACCUUACCUCGGAUUGGUUAGAUUUUUCAGGGAUGUUCCCAGAAAUCUGCUCUCUCCCCUUACUGCUGCCAUGAGCAAAGCUACAUGACAACCUGGUAUUUGCAACCCAAAUAAAACUAAAACUAAACUGGUUCUUAGGCUGGGUCCUGUGGUAUUCAGAUUUUAUUCUUUCUAACAUCCAAUACACUGUCUAGCACACAGUGGCACUGUAGAGCCUUAAGAAAUGCUGAAUAAGUGAGUAUUGGUGAAAAUACUUCUGAAAAGAAGUAAAUACAUAGAAAAGGAAAUGGCUAAUGAACUGUCAGGGUUAAUGUAGAUGUUAUGCAAACACCAGGAGAGGGGCUGAAAGAAUCCCUGACUCCGUACAUCCCAUUUUCCAAUGGUUACAUAACACUUCGAGGAAAAACCGGCAAGCACAGCUACACCCAUUUACCCCACCGGUCUUCAGCUCAGCACACUUGGGAGUGCAGCUGACAUACAGAGAGGGAGAGGUCAGUGCUGCCCAGCAGUACCCGCCAGGCCUGAGGACGGAGCACGGCAGAGAUGCUCAGUUUCCAUACAACAAAGGAGGGAAACCAUCCCCACUUAGGACCCUGUGUUCUGCUAUAGGAAGCUGUGUGGCCACAUGGAAAUGCAGAAAACUGGAGCACAUUUCAAGGGAGCAGUGGAAAAUGACUCAGGGGCGGGGAGGCCUGCCUUUAAAGAAAGAUAAAAGGUGCUAAAUCUGUACAGUUCGGCUAAGCGGUGACUAAGACGGUGACAAGAUAACAAUCUGCAAAUAUUUGAAAGGUGUAAACAUGAGAAAGGAGGGAAAAUGCUUAGCUGGAGAACAGGGGGUGUAAUUAUCAGGGGAAAGAAAAAUCUGGACAAAAUAUCAGAAAAACUAAGUGUGGGGAUGACUCCUGGGUUAUAAAUAAGUUCCCAAUUAAAAUGAAAAUGCUGUUUUUGAAUCCUAAAACUGAAACGUGGCCACUGAGCCCAUUCCUCUGCUUAGGAGAAAGUAGCCCAGACCAAGGAGCUGUUAUUUUAUCUUCUACAUUUUGGGAAAGAUUUCUUUUUUUUUUUUUUUAAAGAUUUUAUUUAUUUAUUCAACAGAGAUAGAGACAGCCAGUGAGAGGGAACACAAGCAGGGGGAGUGGGAGAGGAAGAAGCAGGCUCAUAGCAGAGGAGCCUGAUGUGGGGCUCGAUCCCGUAACGCUGGGAUCACGCCCUGAGCUGAAGGCAGACGCUUAACCGCUGUGCCACCCAGGCGCCCCUUGGGAAAGAUUUCUUGAAUAAUAUUCAAAUUUAAGUAUCUCUGCUUUAAACGCUACUCUCUGAAAUUUUAACACAUUUUUUUUGUUGAUCGAACCAGACAAAAUGGCUGUCCUGGUGGGACUUUCAGAACAAACGCUGGCUUUAUCUGCUAGUAUGUGCCACAUCCCAUGGCUGACAGCUAAAGUGGGGCUGUGUACACAGCCGGGUGACAGACAGCUGGGAAAGGGAUGGGAGACUACACCAUCUCAUCUAGCAGGACAGCUUCGUCCUUUGCCUUUAAGACCCUAGGUAAGAAUGCUGUAAAAGUUUCCCAGAUGGAAACCGUAGGCACCUCUCCUUUCUUUUUAAAUACACAGUCCCCUGGAGUAAACGUCAAGGACAAGGCAAGGCACAAAAAGAACACCAAAAUAAGCUUCCUGUCACACUGACUGCACUCCAAUACCUUUGCCUGAGUUCCUGCUGCUGCAGCUAGCCAAUUUAUAAUUCACAGACUCUCAGCAGAGAUUUUUACCCCCAGAUUCAAUUAGUUCCAUUUCUAUACUUUCCCUUACCAUCCUCCCCCCACCACCAAAAAACAAAACACAAAUUUUAAAACUCCACUAUGUAUAGAGAAUAAGACAUUUAAACUCUGUAUGCAGCCUAAGCGAAGUAACACUUAACUAUGUCCAAGUCAAUUUCAAAAAUUCUUUGGUGUUAACAAUGUUUAGACAGCUAUUUCUUCCCUAAGCAUCAAGAACAAAAUCCAGAACUCUUAAGCCAAUGGCACAAAAUGCAGAGGCAGACAGGCCAUCUGCCUAGUUUUAAGGAAUGUAGUUACCACCUGAAUAUACACAUAAAACCAAAAUAACAAACCACACUGUUAGUUCUCAGAAACGUAACAUAUCUCAUGCAUCAGAAGCUUGCUCUGAGUUCUCUGUCAUAAGCUUUAAAUCAGAAUUAAUUUGGAGAUCUCAAAUUGCAAAUGCUGUCAGUGAAUCUGUUAACAAUUGAGAACGGCAAACCAUCCCAUUAGGGCCAGCUGGUCCUACAUUUCCUAAAAUGGCCCAAAGAGCAAGGCAAACGGUGGACCAGUUUGUUCCUAAGAGUUAGUUCUACAUGAUACGAGGCCUCGACUUGUAUUAAAAGGGUCAGAAAUGAAACAAGGAUUCUGCAUGGUCUCAAAUUCUUUUUUUUCUCCCUUGUUCUCUGAACUGCUAUGUUGUUACCUCAGGGGAGGCAGCAUCUUGUGGGCCAAUUUUGGAACGUGUCAGUGCUAAAGCUCUUUCAGGGAUCAGAAUAAAGGGAUAAAAGAAGAAUGAAGGGAUCCUAAUUAAAGGGAUCUGACUCCUCAGGUAAUUGUAGUCAGGGCAUCAGAACUGAGUAAGAGCAGAGACUGAAGCGGUUUUUAGUUCAUAAUUCCAAUGGUUAAGGGUUGACUUUUAUUGGGUUGUUCUGAUUUGGUAAUGUCUGAUGCAUUUGUUGAAAGACCAGAAGCUGAAGUUAAUUGGGAGAAGAAGCAAUAUGACCCAGUGUUCAUCAUGCGAUGGGAACUGCGGCUUCCUUUGAAGACAGGAAGGGGGUAAAGGGGAGGCAUCUACAGAAAGGAGGUACAGUAGUCCCCCCACCAUCCAUGGUUCCACUCUAUGCGAUUUCAGUUACCCAUGGUCCAGUGCAGUCCAGAAGCAGAUGAUCCCAUUUCUGACGUACUGUCAGAGGGUCAAUUGUAGCCUGUGCUAUGUCACAGUGCCUGCGUCAUUCCCCCUACUGCACUUCAUCUUAUCAUGUAGGCAUUUUAUCAUCUUACAUCAUCACAAGAAACGUCAGUACAGCACAAUAAGACAUUCACAUAACUUUUAUUACAGUAUUUUGUUGUAAUUGUUCAACUGUAUUACUGUUGCAAAUCUCCUACGGUGCCUAAUUUACAAACUAAACUUUAUCAUCGGUAUACAUGUAUAGGAAAAACAGUAUAUAUAGGGUUGGGUUCCAUCGUGGUUUUCAGGCAUCCACUGGGGGUCUUGGAACGACUCCUCCAUGGAUAAGGAGGGACUGCUCUACAGUGCUUGGCUUUAAACAAGUCUUCAGUUUCUAUGAUAUAAGUCAUGGGCGUUAUACCACUAGGACAGUGCUGCCUUUUCACGCCGAAUCUCUAGCUGCUGUUAGUCUGUUAAUGGUGGAUCCCACUCUGCGAUUAUUUGAGGUAAAGUAAAUGCCAGUUCUCUGUGUAUCCCCAGUAUUUGGAACACAGCUGAUACUCAACAACUGUUUUUGCUAAAUGAAGGCCAGAGAUGUCAAACCUAGCAGAAAUAGAUGCAACAAACCUGUUAUAACAACGUCCUAUUCAGAACACUUGUUGAGUUCAUAAGGAAAUCUAGUAACUCAUUUCCAGGACUCUACGGCGAGUGGGUGUUAAAUGCUAAACCACUGCCCACUUCUAAGGAGGAGAGGAAGACGGGAUGGCUUCGAGGCCUUCUGCUGGAUUUCUGCCUCUCGGGCCAGCCAGGCAGUGUGCAGAAUUGGCUGCACCAAACUUGAUUUAUCAUUGGCUUUAGACAUCAAAGAAUCAUUCCCAAAAGGAAAAAAGAAUUUCAGAUGGAGCUGGUGCAGCAGAUAACAAUUGGGCCAGCAUCAGAAUAACCUUUUGUAAUUCUUCCCAUUGCACAGCAGCAUCUGAAAACAAUGAUUUUUAAAGGGAGGAAAAACUCUCACUGAUUAACAAGACCGUUCCCUCCCUGUGGCAUCCUAAGAGCGUGGCCAUACACAAUCCGGCCAGGCUGUCUCUGGGGCUGUUUGGGAAGGGGGCUGUGUUGGAGAUGGCAGGCUGUCUGCAUCCCAACACACAUAUUUGUUUUGGGUUUGCUAUAAGCGGCAGCUGCAGUACCGCCACCAGCCAGGAGAAGAAUGAAACGAGCGGGUGUCGGAAAGAACUGUGCCGACUCCCAAUUGUCCCCUUGAGUUUGUCUUCAGUGCCCAGAUCAAAACAACCUCAUAUGCACGUUACAUAGAAAACAAAGCACUGGAGGUCACGAGCAAGGGUCAUGAUGGUCUUUCCAAUGACAAGAAAUCAACAGGGCUCAAGCUUUUAUGUAACACUGUGGCACCAUGGAGACAGCACCCAACAAGCACAAACCCCAUGUCUGAGCAACGAGGAGGAGUUGGUUUCUAUGAGAACCUCAACUUUCGCUUUUUCUGACUUAUUUUAAACAUGUAACUUUAUCUUUGAAUCAACUAAAACUUAGAUGUAUUUUUUUUUCCCUUUCAUUUUUGGCACUAAAGAAUUCUAAUCUUGGUCUUUUAAAUUCCAUGUUAAUAGAGAAAGAUGAGAAUAUGAAUAUACUGUCCAGGCUGAUAGAGAAUAGCCACUGGGUCGGGAGAAAGCCAUAGGAAAUACCCACAUGGAUCUUGCAAGUACAAGCUUCCAGAAGGUAUUCUGACACACACCUGGCAGCCAAAUGUAAAAGCUACUUACUUGAAUAAAUUUAGAGUGACUUUCUAAACCAAGCUGUGUUGUGUAAUUUGAACAAAAUGCUUCUGAGAUGUGUGGAGUAUACUUCCAAUCUAUUGCCCUUCUUAAGCCUUCACUCAUAGAAAAUUGUUCUGAGCUUCUCCUCCUUAGGCAAGUGAAAUCCAAAUGUCUAGUGAUCAGUAUACUCGGCUAGAAGAACUGGAGCAAAAGAAACCAGUUGGUGUCAGGAAUAUUAAGACCCCCAAACCAAUGGGAAUGAAUAAAACUCCGACAGCAGAGAAUCACUCACUAAGAGCCCUUUACCUUACUAACGUAAGAGCAAAAAUUGAAUAAAAAAAAGCAAAAAGAAAGCCAUUCUGAAAGGGCAAGGUUAAGGUUCUUCAAGAACACAGGCUGAUCUUGACACAUAAAUACAUUCUAUCCUUGAAAAGUAGCUUGAAUUCCAGGCUGUGGGCGAAGAAUGGCUUUAUUUUUUAUUUUUAUUUUUUGGUUAGCAUGAUGUAAAGGGGUCAGCAGACAACUUCCUGUAGACUAAAUCCAGCCUGCUGCCUACUUUUGUACAACUCAUGAGCUAAGUAAGAAUGAGUUUUACAUUUUUGAAUGGUUAAAAAAAAAAUUGUGACAUGUGAAAAUUACAUGAAAUUCAAAUUUCAGUCUCCAUAAAUGAAAUUUUACUGGAACAUAGCCACGCUCAUUUGUUGUCUAUGGCUUCCUUCAUGGUACAACAGAAGAGUUGAAUAUUUGUGACAGAGACUAUCUGGCCCAGAAAGCCUAAAACAUUUACUAUGUGGCCCUUUAUGGAAAAAGUCUGCCAACUCCUGUUCUAAGGAAAGCUGUAUGCUGGUUAAAAGAAAACCUACCCAAGGCAGAGUUUAACUUCCCAGGACUAGAACAUCAGAAUAGGUGACAGCAUAAGAAACUCUUAAAUAAUAAAAACAAUACUAAAAAAAAGCCUAAAGUCCUGUAACAGAGAAGGUAAGAGGAAAGGAAACAUGGCUCAAAGGAGAGUGGCUGAGGCAGCUGACAUGAAUGACAGGCAUAUGUCCUCGACCUUCCUCUCUUCCACCUCAUCUUUGGAAUGUUCCUCUUCUAAAUGUGUGAUCUUUCCCCUUGAUUCCCGCUUUCCUCCACCAGACUCCGAUUUCCCCACUCAAAACUUACACCCCAUAAGCUCUAAACUUUAAGUUUCCAGAGUUGCCAUUCUUUAUUCCUUGCCACAAUGGCUUCUCUCCACUCCCUGACAAUAUACUUGCACUAUCAUACCCUUGUACAGAAAGCCUUCGCUCCUAUGAUUUUGUACUCAGGCUUUAUCUUUCUACUAAAACUACUUGGAAAAGUAACCUCCUCACUCACAAAUCUAAUAAUCUCUUCUCAGUAGGAGCCCUACUAGAUCUUUCCAUGGUAUUCAACACCAGUGGUGCAUCGGUCCUGCUGUAUAACUCUUUCCUCCCUUUGCUUCUCUCGACUGGUGUCCUGGCUCUCUGGACAGCUUGUCUCAUCUCCUGCUGUUGCCCUCCCUUAUGUCCUGGACCCCUUUCUUUUUAUGCUCUGCACUAUCUCUUAGAAGGCUCACCCUUUAUUCAUGUUCUCCAUCCUUGUGAUCCUGCAGGGAUCCUCUAAGCCACAGACCCAAUCCCAAAUAGCUCAAGACAUGUCCUUUGGGAGGUCCUGCCAAUACCUUAAACUCAGGAUGUCUAAAACCAAACUCCUCUUCCUCUUCCCUUGUCCCCUCUUUCGGUUUCGGUACUACCAUCCAGUCUAAAAACCUCACCUCUGAUUCGUCUCUGCUUUAUUCACAUGACUCAGUGACUUCUACCGCUUAUCAAAUCCAGGGAUUUCACCUCCACAGCUGUUGUACAGCCCACUGAAUCCUCUCAACCCUCAACAUAAGCCUACUUGUUGAGGCUCCUGUCACUGCUAGGCAAGAAUCUUCUAUCUGCCUGCCUUCCAUUUUGCCCUAUAUGGAUUCUUCCUACACAGAGCUCCCUGGUCAAUUUUCCUAAAGCAUAACAUGCUGCUCAAAACUCUGUCCAUGGCCACCUAUAGUUUACCUAUUGUAAAGUCAGAACUCCGCAAUCUUGACAUUCUAGGCCUUCUAAAAUCUGACUCACUUCCUUGGGGCCAUAUAAAACAACCAUUACCCACUUGACAGCCCCUCAAAUAUGUGAAGACAGUACUUCUAGUUCCUCUUGUCCUCAUGUCUUAGUUUCCCCAGGCUAAACAUUGCUGGGUCCUCACAAGACGCGGGUUUUGAUUUCUUAGCCUUCUACUCAUUUUCCUCUUUCUGCCCAGGUAAUAUGAAGGGUAUCGUCAACAGGAAAUAUUUUUCAAGUUGAUUUAAUUAAAAUUCUGGCGGGAAGCUAGGGCACGUGCAAUGGGGAUGUCCCUUCUCACGUGCUGUUGUUGAGAACCAUCUUCGGAGGUGAAAUCUGCUGCCUUUGUGGGACUGCCUGGGGAGGGGUGUGGAGAGCCUGCAUACUAGUCCUCCCUCCCUGUGACCAGGCAGACUUGGACUUUUAAUCCAGGCAGGACGCUGCAGCACUCCAGACAGCUCCAUUAGUGCAGGAGGAAUCCCUGGGCUGAGGGAGAAGGGAAGCCCUCAAGGGACUGUGUGGGAGAGGCGGAGCCCAUCCUGUGGAAGGCGGCCUGCUGCCAUGGCCUCCAUUCCAGCCCACUUCCAUUCUCUGUCUCUCAGCAGCAGCCCCAGGCACUGUGGAGACCCUAGUGGUGUUGUGACAAGCAGUCUAUUCAUUUCCUUCUCUCAUUCACUGGGCUCUCGGGGAUAAAAAGGAACAGCAAAUCCAAACCACUGCCUAGAAUCCACUUUGCAGAAUUUAGGGAAAGACUGUUCUCCUGAAGUGAUUAUUUUCCCUGUUUGGGAGACCCAAGGGAAGGAACAGGAUUUCUGCAUCCUUUACUUUCCACUGAUGCAACGUUGCAGAAACAACUAUUUCAGUCAUCACUGCGGCCAGUGGGACAGUGAAAGCACGGCUUGCACUUAAUUGAGGCUUUUUAGCUCCUGUCACAGUGUGGCAACAGGGCACCAAAGCACCAGGAUUUGAACUGUGAUGCUGGAUAUAACGCUUCAGUUGAAAAGAGGGAGAUAAGGGAGGACAGCGAGAGAGAAAACCAGGUACUGACAGACAAGCUUCCUGAU